GAAGUGAAUAAAAUAGCUUUGGUGAAGCGAACCCGGGGAACUGAAACAUCUCAGUACCCGGAGGAAAGGACAUCAACCGAGACUCCCGUAGUAGUGGCGAGCGAACCGGGACCAGGCCAGUGCUCUUGUGAAAUAAAGACGAACGAUCUGGAAAGGUCGGCCAUAGUGGGUGAAAGCCCCGUAGUCAUCAAACAGCAAGAGACUCGAGUAGGGCGGGACACGUGAAAUCCUGUCUGAACAUGGGGGGACCACCCUCCAAGCCUAAGUACUCCUCUACGACCGAUAGUGAACAAGUACCGUGAGGGAAAGGUGAAAAGCACCCCGACAAGGGGAGUGAAACAGAUCCUGAAAUCGGAAGCCUACAAGCAGUCGGAGCCGCCAAGCGCGGUGACGGCGUACCUUUUGUAUAAUGGGUCAGCGACUUCAUGUGUCGAGCAAGCUUAAGCCGUUAGGUGUAGGCGCAGCGAAAGCGAGUCUGAAUAGGGCGAAUGAGUUUGAUGCAUUAGACCCGAAACCCGGUGAUCUAGGCAUGACCAGGCUGAAGGUGCGGUAACACGCACUGGAGGGCCGAACCGUUCAAUGUUGAAAAAUUGUCGGAUGAGUUGUGUUUAGGGGUGAAAGGCCAAUCAAGCCGGGAAAUAGCUGGUUCUCCGCGAAAUCUAUUGAGGUAGAGCGUCGGACGAAUACCUUGGGGGGUAGAGCACUGGAUGGAUGCGGGGGUCGCGAGAUCUACCAAUUCUAACCAAACUCCGAAUACCCAAGAGUACUAUCCGGCAGACAGACGGUGGGUGCUAACGUCCAUCGUCAAAAGGGAAACAACCCUGACCGCCAGCUAAGGCCCCCAAAUCAUGGCUAAGUGUGAAAGGAUGUGGGGAUCCCAAAACAACCAGGAUGUUGGCUUAGAAGCAGCCAUCAUUUAAAGAAAGCGUAACAGCUCACUGGUCUAAAUAAGGGUCUUUGCGCCGAAAAUGUAACGGGGCUAAAGCCAUACACCGAAGCUUAGGGUUCGCAGUAAUGCGAGCGGUAGCGGAGCGUUCUGUAAGCUGAUGAAGCCGUACCCGUGAGGGGCGGUGGAGGUAUCAGAAGUGCGAAUGCUGACAUGAGUAGCGUUAAAGGGGGUGAAAAGCCCCCUCGCCGUAAGCGCAAGGUUUUCUACGCAACGUUCAUCGGCGUAGAGUGAGUCGGCCCCUAAGGCGAGGCAGAGAUGCGUAGCUGAUGGGAAACAGGUCAAUAUUCCUGUACCG
rnacentral:rRNA from 1 species